GUCAGCAGCCAUAUCACCCUGCAGCCCAAGACUGGUUGCCCACUGAAGCCAAGCAGGGUUGAGCCUGGUCAGUACCUGGAUGGGAGACCUCCUGAGAAAACUAGGUUGCUGCUGGGG
rnacentral:rRNA from 1 species